AGCUCCCUAUGUGUGACCUGGGAAAGCAGUCAAGGAUGGCCCAAAGCCUUGGGACCUUGCACCUGCAUGGCAGUCCCAGAAGAAGCUCCUGGCUCUUGGUUUCAGAUCAGGUGUUUUUAUUUGUCCAUAUGUGACAAGGUGUUAACAAUACCAAGAUUUGCCUUUGACUAACUUUGGUACAAAACCAUCAGGAAGAAGCAAAUAACAAUCCGUGGCUUUAGAAUCUGUUGGUGUUAUGUGAGGAAGAA